CCUCCCAAAGUGCUGGGAUUACAGGCGUGAGCCAGUGCACCAGGCCAAAGAUAGUUUUUUAAUGUUAAUAGAUCAGUGUCUACAUUCUACAUCAUCAUUUCAAAUGCUUCUUAAGUCUUCCAUUGUAUGGGUAGACUCCGUUGUAUUUAAUCAACUUCCUAUUGUUGGAAAUUCGAGUUGUUCCAAUUGUUAAAUAAUUACAAAUGUUAAAAUAUACUUAAAUAUUUACUUGUAAAACUCCUACUAUAUUACAUCUACUUUAUGAUCCAGAAGGCACUACGAAGUCACGGUUUAAAACCAUGGGCUUUUGAGUCAGAGCUAGACCUCUGGGAUUCUAAAUCUGUCUCAGGGUCUUAAUCUGAGUAAAAUGGGUUUAAUAAUAUUUAUACCUUACAGGAGUGUUGUGAAGAUGAAAGGAGUUAAUAUAUGUAAAGCACUACACAGAGUCCUGGGGCAUGGAAAGCAUGCAAUGAAAGCUAGCUCAUACAACUGAAGGGGCUCACGUCUACCCAUCUCUGCCCUCAAUGCUCAGCCCAGGGGUUGACAAGGUGUUCAAUGAAUUGCUUGUUCAAUGAGUAAUUUGUAUAAGAUCUUGGUAACAAUAUUAAAAGGUUAUAAUCCUAGUCACAGAGAUAGGACUAAAUUAGAACUCUUUAAUAAAAAUCUUGAGGCAAGAUAUUCAUAUCUAACAGGAAUUGUAUAUGUAUGAUAAUUAGGGUAAGUUUCAUCUUUUUAUUUUCAAUCAUUCGUGCAUUAGGAUAAAGCCCAAAAUGUGUCAUAAAUCACUGAAUUGAAAACACCACUGUGCAAAGUAUAAAAAAUUUCAAAUCAACCAUGCUAUCAUCUUUAAUUUGUGAAUGUUAGAAAUAUUUUCAUUCUUCACAUUAUUAAUUAAAACAAUAAUAUUUGAUCAUUGUAAAACUUCAAACAGGAUAUACAGGAAGCAGGAAGUGAAAGCUCUCCUUUCUCAUCUCCCAGCCCCACUCUUAGAUAUGGCCACUCUUUGAAGGUGUAUUCUUUCACACCUUUCCUGUGCAUAUACAAGUAUACACACAGCUACCUGUGAAUAUGUCCAUACAGAGGAUAAUCAGCAUUUAAUUAUAAGUCACACAGCUCUACUUUCAUAUUUAAGAAAAAAAAAACUUCCAAACAAUUUCCAUCAGAAAAAAUUGUCACUAGUCUGGUGUUUUUAUCCAUUAAAUCUUUGUUUCUAGUGAUUUCCCCAGGAGUGAGUGGUUCAUUGUAGUUGGCUAACCAUGUAAGAGCAAGCAAUAGAACAAAAACAAAUGUUUUUGUUCUAUUAAUAAGGAAGUGAAUAAGUUUUCUUAAACAUUCAUAGGAAUAGAUGGAGAAAAACAUGUGACCUGAACUAAGAUCAAAUCAGGCAGAACUUUGUUCCAGGUCAGAAAUAGUUUUAGGAUCUUGACAUAUGACCACAAGGGCCAUCUGCUUAGAGCAGGGCAGAGUAAAGCAAAAUGUGGAGCAGGGUGAGGACACAAAAGAGGAGUGGAUGAGAGGUUGGAAAUUGUCUGAAAAUGUUAAAGCUGAUUUUAGUUUCCCAUCGUCCGUGACGGUGGGAUUUGGUGGUCAUUUGUUAUUUUAGUUAUUUUAUUUAAAGUCCCCAAUCUCUAACCCUAACAGAUACAGGAGUGUAAAUAAUAUUUUUAUUCUUUGAAGGACUUGGAGAACUUGUAUAUUCUUCUGUUAUUUCAUAAGAGAUUUUAAUUUACUAUUUGAGAUGUUUGAGGCAAAAAAAUACUUAAAUUAACAUAUAUUUCACUACCAAGAGAACUGGUGUCUUCUGGGUAAUGAAUUAUGAAUAACAACAUAUGAAAUAAAUAGCAACAGUCACUUUGGCUCCUUUGUGGAAGAACAUAGGAUAUAAAUAAGUAAGUGUAUACAUGAAAAAAUGAAAAUAAACAGUAAUGAUGCUUGCUAACUGUGUUGCUUGCUUCUGUUAUAACUCAUUCAUUCUAAAAAAAUAAUUAGCUGAUAGGGUAUAAUUACUAUUUUUAUAAUCUUGUUCAAACAAAUUGAAUUUGUGUAAUGGAAAAAAAGCAAAACUUAGUAAAGCAUUUUUCAUAAUCUAGGAUCUAUGUUGCUACAAUCUGUAUUUAACUCCUUAGAAAAUGGUCCCAUAAUCAAGAUCUCCUUCCUAGUUCUCUCACCAGGAGUUGUAACACUCUGAUUCACAAGAGUAAGCUUUUGAUUUUGGCUUUUUAAUUUUACUUCGUAAUACCAGAGCCUAGAAGGAACUUCCACAUCACAAAAAAUUGAGCAUAAGGGUUUCACCAGAGUCUAGCUCUGGUGAUUUCUGCCACAUGAUAUCUUUGCUACUAUAAUUCUAAGGAGAUGGGAAGUCUUACUCGACUGAAAUCUUGUCUAGCCACCAACAUCAUCUCAUCUUUACCUGUCCUGGGUAUCAUCAUGUAGGCUAGUAACUUGCACCCCUUAGCCUACUGACAGAGACAUCUGUAUCUCCUAUAACAUCCAUUGACUAUGCAUGUGCACUGUGGCAGCACCACUGAUUUGCUUUAAACAUGGUACUUAAUUUGAUAACUGAAGUAAAUAAGAAUUAUCUGGCAUCCAAGGCAUCAGAAUAUAUCCCACUGUCAGGAAAAGGAAAUUGAUCCCUGACUUCUGAGCUGCAAUGACAAAGUUAAUCAUAAUUGGACUCUAAGAUUGAGACUAAUCAGAUAUUGAGUCAAGGUAAUCAACUGGAGUUGAUAAUAUAUAGAAUAAUCUGGUUUUGAAUAGUGCUUUGCUGUUUUCAAAAUGUUUUAAAUUAUGUUAUUUCGUUUAAACCUCCAACUUCUCUCUGAGGAAGCUAUUAUUAUUUCCAUUUAUAAGUGAAAAGACCUAGCCUCAUAGAGAUAAAUUCCUCCUCUUCUUGGUGAUGUUUCCUUUCCCACCUGGCUUUUAUAUACCUUCCCUCUAUGAUUCUGACACCUGGUAGAUUCUCUUCAAAGAAUUCACAAAUCAAUGAUGCUACCCACUCAGUGGAAUACAAACCUAUCUUCCAGUUACCAUCUCAUUUCUCUUUCUUCCUAUCGAUUAAGUUUCUUAAGAGUAAAAUAUACUCAAUGUCUCUUCCCAAGUUCACACUUACUCUUCUACCCAUUGAAUCAGGCUUCCAAGACAACUCCUCCACUAAAACGGCUCUCAGGAAGGUUGUCACAGACCACCAAGUUGCUAAAUGAAAGGCAUAUAUUGUUUUGCCAUCUUACUUGACAUUUUUCCUUUUCUCUGCCCACGGCUUUUGGGACACUACCCUUUUGCCUCCCUCCUGUGUCUCUAGGUGAUCCUUCUAAGUGGGAGUUCCUUUUUACUUUGUUCAAUCCUUUUGGUGAUCUCUAGGCUUAAUUUUGUGUUCUCUUAAUCUUGAUUUACUCUCUGAAUGACUUCAUCUGAACCCAUGUUUAUCAUGAAAGCUGCAGCUUCAUAUACCAUUGACUACUGAACCUCCCCGCUUGUAUCCUAUCUGCCUCUACCUCCAUGCCCCCUUCCCACCCACACCUCCCUUACCCAAUGUGCUCUUCCUCCUGCAUUCUGAAACUUGGCAGAAUCUGGGCAGUCACAGACUUUCAACCACCCCCUGGACAGUCAAUCAACCAUGAUGUCCUCUUGAUUUUAAUAAUCUUUCAUAUCUCUCUCUUCUUCACUCUUAUUAUCCCUGACUUACAUCAGGUUCUCAUCUGUUUGCCAGGGAUGCAGGUCAAGAUUGCCUUGGAGGCUUUGGGCCAUUCCUUAGUAGGUGCAAUGAAAAAAACAGAUUUGUAACUUUCCUAUCAUGGUGUUUGGUUCUGGAUAUCUCCUAUUGUUGGGUCUCAGUGGUGGGUCUUGGUCAGGAAUGAUGAAAAUUACAAACCACAACUUGCAUUUAUCUUCCCUGUAGUUGAAGUUUAUCUUAAAAUGGGCAUGGAAGAAGAUAAGAUAGCAAAUCCAAAGCAUUUAACAAACAGGUAAUAGAUACCUAUUCUGUAAUCUGUGCUAAGCAUCUGGGAUACAAAGACAAAUAUGGCAUUGUCCCUGUCCCCAGUGCACUCAUGUUCUAGUGGGAAAGGCAAAUGAUUACAAUUCCGUAUAAUACUUGGAAUGAUGAAGGAAUGUGAGAAAUAUUCUAUGAAUACAGGAGAGUUUUCAUCCAUGUAUUCAUUUUGCCUUUAUUGCAUUAAGUGUGUGAAGUGGGGAGGGAGGGAGUGGCAGCAUGGCUGACAAGGUAGGGUAGGGCUUCCAGAGACGUGAAAAUGCUCUCUUUCAGAUAGAGACUGCAGCUCUUGAGACUGCAGCUCUGGAUCCUGCCACUGGGGGUUCUGGGAAUUCUGUUGGCUAUUUUCUCAAGUGGUAGAAUUAUCCCAAACAAGUUACACAACCUCUGUGAUUUCUAAUUUCCAUAAUUCUAAAAUGAAAAGUUGGUUAAAAUCGGGAGUUGGCAAACUUUUUCAAUAAAAGGCCAGAUAGUAAAUGUGUUAGGCAUUGUGGUUCAUAUAGCCUCGGUAUAUGUGGUAGGCUUGUGGUCCAUAUAGCCUUGUUGCAUUUACUCAACUGGGUCACUAUAGUGCACAAGCAGCCACAGAUAAUACAUAAACAAAUAAGCCUGGCAGUAUUCCAGUACAACUUGAUUUACAAAAACAAGCAGUGGGCUGGAUAUGGCCCACUGGCUAUCGUUUGCAAGCUCCUGGUCUAAACGAUCUCCACGAUGACUUUCAGAUCUGCCAUUCCAUAGGUUCAUGAAACAGCAGUUCUUAAAUUCUUGAUAUACUUCAUAUUAGUUUUUAAAUAUACUUUUGUUGUGGUUGACCAGUUUAGAAAAUUUUACUGUGGCAUUAAAAGUGGUAAGAUUUGAGGUUUAACUUAUCAUGGGUCAGUUAGCUUCUCUCUGUUCCAUGACUGUACAUCACAGACAUCAACAAAUUCAUGGCCCUGCAUGGAGCCACAGAGCUCCAUGACUGGACAAAUGUCAUUCUUCCUUGUUUCUGAGAACACAACCUCAGCACAUGCUUCCUUAAUGAUAGUACAGCAGCAUCUAUAUACUGACAUUAUUUAGUUCCUUUCAAAAAAUAAAAUUAUUUUUAAGAAAAGUUGUUAAUAUAAUAUCUGGCAAAAGAAACCUAUAGGUAAAUAGGUAUGUUUCAUUAUGAAACUUUUAAAUAAGCCAAAUUGAUUUUUAUGGCUACUAAGCAAAAGAAUGGUUUAAAAAAAAGUAUGCUGUUAUGCAUGUAAGCUAAAGCAGAAUCGGCAAACUGUCUAUGUCAUAAAAGCCAACAAUUCUCUACUUUUCCAAUGGUAGACAUUGCUAAUCAAUCCUAGCAGUUUUCCCCACAGACUCUGAAUGGAUUCUCAUAAUUAUUCCAACUCGCUGAGCCAGGAAAUGAUGCCAAGUUGAUUGGCAUUACCAUGCCAGAUAAAAUCUAUUGUCACAGUGCAACAAAAGUUACUAUACUUUUUCUAUUCCAACCACCAAUUUAUUCUUGCUAAAAGAUGUAACCCUGGCUUCAGCAGCUAUAAAAUUCAACUCAACAAAAUGAAGAUAGGGCAGGAUCCCUUUGAGACAUUCCUGGAAAAGCAGAACAGUCCAUGACCAUCAGGAAGGCAUGCUGACUUCAGGCAAUCUGGCAAAAUACUGUGGGUGCCAGUGAGGUAAAAACAUUAUUAGCAGAGUCAAGACUUUCUCUCAUCAAGUAGCUCUGACCUACACUGUGGAUUCCUUUUGAGCAGCUAUGACGAAUACACAUUGUGUGGGUCUAGGUAUUAUAAGUGGAUUUAUGAUUUAUUUAGGGAAAUAAAUUUACAAAAGACAUUUAGAAGACCAGAGUUGGGAUUUUUGCCCAUAAAAAAUGAUGGGUCUAUAUGAGUCCUUAAAUAUCUACACAAUAAAGAGAUAUCUCUGCCAACCACAAAAAAAUAGGCUAGGCAGUACCCAGCUGCCUGGCCUAUUUUUUUGUGGUUGGUAGGGAUAUCAGUUUUAGCCUUUGUACUUAUAAGCACUCAUAAUAUUUUGCUUAAAUAAUAAAUUUUCAUGUGCAAUCACAAUAAUUUUAUACUAUAAAAAAUUGAAAAAGUCUUGAAUAUACAUAUUAAGUCACUGGAAAAUAAUGCAUCUUAUUUGGUAGGCUUAAUUUUUUAAAUUAAAAUUAAAUGUUCUUAAAAAUUUGUGGACCAUAUGCCUAAACUAAAUGAGAUAGUUAAUUUAAACUAAUGAAAGCUAUAUCUUCAAACAUAUUAAUAUUUC
rnacentral:lncRNA from 1 species